rnacentral:rRNA from 1 species
UAGGCAACCUGCCCCAGACACAGGGAUAACCCCGGGAAACCGGGGCUAAUACCGGAUACUCCGGUCGAGCCGCAUGACUCGAUCGGGAAAGCUCCGACGGUCUGGGAUGGGCCCGCGGCCUAUCAGCUUGUUGGUGGGGUAACGGCCUACCAAGGCGACGACGGGUAGCUGGUCUGAGAGGACGACCAGCCACACUGGAACUGAGAUACGGUCCAGACUCCUACGGGAG